UGCUGUGCGACGACAAAUGCUACAAAAAGAUGCCAAUUUAAAUACAAUUUUAGAAGAAUGGCCUCAGUAUAAGCAGAGUUUUGGACAUUUAAUGAACUGGAUUUUAAGAAGCUGUACCCCGAAAAGCAAAAUUUGUUAUUUGAUAAAUGGGAGAGCUUCUGCCAAGCGAUUCCACCUUUGCUAGAAAUUUACAUUAAAGAUUCAAACAGCUUAACUACUUGGAGGCAGUUUAAAGAAGGAAGCAUCAAUGCUGAUGCAAAAGACUUAGUCAUUUUUUAUCUUCUACACUCUGUCUUAAUUCCAACUGGCCGAACAUAUAGAACAUGCAAACAGACAAAAAAAACACUUCAUCAAGUACACUAUUGCAGAUUCAAGAAAUAGUUUCUUACUGUGGGCACCGACAAGUAGUGAACUUCAGUCAAAAUUGAAAUUAAUGGUAGAUGCAAAUUAUAUGGAUAAAAGUACGAUUCAGCCAAUUAUAUGUUCCAUUGGAUUGGAUUAUUUUUAUUGCAAGGAAUAUUAUGUGUAUUUCGCCGAUAUAUUUUAUAAGUUCGAUAACCUAAUCAAGUGUAUUGAUGUGUGUUUUAAAACAUUCCAUGUACUUAACCUUGAGUAUCCGCCCGAAUGUAGGACCAUUUGGCUUUUUGUCCAGCAGUAUUUCUAUAACAUUUCCUUGAAAUCUCGCGAGAAAAAUGGGUCUAUUUGUGCAAUUUUAAAUGAUUUGGAAAAACAAAAUAAGACUUAAAAUA